rnacentral:rRNA from 1 species
GAUGAACGCUGGCGGCGUGCCUAACACAUGCAAGUAGAACGCUGAAGGAGGAGCUUGCUGUUCUGGAUGAGUUGCGAACGGGUGAGUAACGCGUAGGUAACCUGCCCGGUAGUGGGGGAUAACUUAAGGAAACGAUAGCUAAUACCGCAUGACAACAGCUAUUGCAUGAUAACUGUUGAAAAGGGGCAACUGCUGCACUACCAGAUGCACCUGCGUUGUUUUAGCUUGGUGGUGAGGUAACGGCUCACCAAGGCGGCGAUACAGAGCAGACCUGAGAGGGUGGUCAGCCACCCUGGGACUGGGACACGGCCCAGGCUGCUUCGGGGAGCAGCCAGAGGGAAACGUGGGCCAUGGGCGGAAAUCAUGCCGAACAACGCCGGAGGAGGGGAGAAGGUUGUCGGGUCGUUAAGGUCGGUUGUAGGGGAAGAAAGAGUGUGAGGGUGGAAAGUUGCCGCUGUGACGGUAUCUUACGAAGAAGCACCGGCUAACUACGUG